GGAAAAUAUAAAUCCUGAUAAUGCCCUCGGGCAGGGUAUCCAGCGUUGGACUUCCCCUCGCCGUGACACAGCCUUCCUCCACUUGUAGUGCUGGGCAUUAGCCAGAAAGACGCAGCAGGACCCCAGAUACUGCGAGCCAAGCCCAAGCGAACACUGCGCACCUCACUCUAAGUAUUGGCUGGUCUGGCAGAGAUAUUGAGCUGGAAGGACUGAUUCUGGUGUGACGGGGCCUCAGACCCGAGAGGAAGACCCAGCCCUGAAUGUGCCGUGGAUGUUCAUGAGCGAGUCCGCCAGUGCAGAAAGCAACGCGCUGGCCACCCAACAGAAAGACAGUGGGAGCUGCGUACGUCAUUGUGAAUGUUCUCGCUGCCACGCUAAGCAAAGUAAAAGGAAACAAGCUCCUGGAAGUUGGCACUUUCUACAGAACGGCAUCAUCUUAAUGUCUCCAUAAAAGCCAGAGGCAGCCUCAGAAAGGAGUUUCACGGAUGGAUUUUCUACCUGCACUACACAGGUUCGAAUCCCAGUGCUGCCCAUUUCCGGCUAUGUAACCAUGGGAAAGUUGCAUAUGUACUUAUUGUGUUGUUGCUGGUCUUUGAUCAAUAAAAUGGGGAAAAUAACAGUAGCCA
rnacentral:lncRNA from 1 species